GCACUGAUGUUGUGUGCCAAGCAUGUUGCGGAUCCUAAGCUGCUAGGUAGCUGCGUUGGAUUUAGCCUCCAGGUGGUUGCGUGGUUUGGAUCCCUGCGGUACUGGUUUUACUUGUAGAAAAUUUUGGUGGCUCCGAGCUUGUGGUCUUCCGCGCUUCAUGAUCUGGUGCCUGGCACUUUGGAUUUCUAGUUCUUAUUCAGUACUGAAUCAACCUGCUCUUUGGUCCAGAAUGUAAAAAAAUAAUAUAAGUGUAGUACUGAAUCAACCUGCUCUUUGGUCCAGAAUGUAAAAAAAUAAUAAUAAGUUUAGUACUGAAUCAACCUACUUUUUGUUCCACAAAGUAAAAAUAAUAAUAAGACUUAUGCUUAUGAUUUCUUAGGUAUACCUGCUGGUGCUUUGCACUUGGGCACAUUGGAUUGCCGGUCCCAAUCUCGCAGAUAAGUGUUCCAAACUCAAUCCCCCCACUCAUCUGCUUUUACUGCACUAUAAAAUUGUUGCUGCCCUGUUCUUGGGGUUUUCAGUUAGGGGUGGUUUACUGAAAAUAGUGAUUGCAUAUAAAAUUAAGUGUACUUUGCCAUGCAUCUUUGUGUUGAAAAUAUGAUCGGAGUUCUCAGUACUGGUUGCUAUGACUCGUGACUAGGAUUACAAACCUGCCUGUGCUUUACUCUUGCAUGUACUACCCUUCUAGUUAAUAUUUCUGUACUAUGUGCUGCCUGGAUAGUAUAUUUUCUGGGCAAAAUCUUUCUUGUGUAUGUCUCUGCGCAAAAACUUACUAUUACUUGCCAAACAAUGUGUACUGUAUAAAUUUUCUAAUUAAAUGAUGGUCACUUGAUCAGGUAAGGACCAUGCAUAUGAUGCUAAUAAAAUUGUUAAACCUGAAAAUCCAGUGUUGAAUUGUACAAGGUCUUGGUGUUUGAACAGGCAUGAUGCUCAAUCUAUUUCCUAUUGGUUUUAUUUCUGCUUUUAUGGAUAACUACUUAAUUGUGUAUGAUUGCUGGAUGGCAAGGAUGUACUAAUAUAGUUGAGUACAUUCCAUUUGCGUAGCUUUCUUCUACUGGCAACAAUGGUAGUGAAGUACAACUUACCAUUACUUGAACUUCUAAACCAGCUUUAUGGUCUUUUGCCCUUGCAGGCAUGUUUGUUAUCCUGAAGAAAAAUUAACUUGAUGUGCAGUAUUGAUCUGGAAAAGCUCAUGGAAAAGAAAAUGGUCUUUCUUUGUCUGCUGAUCAGGAACUAUUAUGUCAUCUCCAUGUCUCCACUAACUUGUUCUUGUAUAUGCAUACCCAGCUUACGACUGCUGCAACAUGGUAGAGCUAAACAGGCCUGUAUUAGACUGUGGCAUAAUUACAUGAGGUAAGCAGCACAAGAGCAGCACCUUGGUCACCAGGUAGUGGCCACUUUCAGCAGCCUUGGACAUCUAGGGCAGUUAGUAGUUUGGACGAUUAUAUACCUUGAUGUACUUUCAUUUUCAGUUGCCAUCUUCAACUUGAUAUAUUUAUUGGGUGGAACCACUGUAAUUUUUGGAUGAUACCAUGUGUGCAUCUUCUACAAUUGUAAUGAUGAAAUUGCUGCAGCAAUGUUUAA